CAACUCCAGAACCACUCCCCAGCACCCCUCUCCUCACCCCCACCCAGCUCCUCUUACUCUCCUGGAGGGACAGGCAGGGCUCGCUGAGGACCCGCUCUCCCUCCAAGCUCCCGCUGUACCUCCCAUUCAGCACUUUCAAUGGGGACCCAGGGAGAGAAUGAGAGUCAGGGGCUGGUUUCAGCCAGCGAGCAGCAGGCAGAGAGAGAAAAACUGGCAAAGAAGUUUGCUUGUGCUGGGUCCCAGCUUUGUCAGCCAGCUGGGCCAGAUGCCACCGUGGAGGCAUCUGUCUCCACACAUCCUGUUUCUGGGGAUUGAUUCGCACAGCUGUCUCUUAGAUGGAAAGGAGGUGGCUGCCAACAGGACGCAGAGCAUCCUUCCAGCCCUACUUUAGGCAGGAUAGCUGAGUGGGAAGAUCCUGGGUUUUCAGUUGGGCAGGGAUUUCAAUCAGAUUCUGACACUCCCUAGAGGUGUCACCUUGGGUAAAUUGCCCAUACUGCCAGAGAUGUAUAAUAGCGGUAAGAAUGCUUGGUUCAAAUCCCAGUUCUCCUUCCUAGCUGUGUGGCCUCAGACAACUUACCUGAUAUCUCUGAAUCUCAGUUCUCUGAAUCUCUGAAAUGGGGAUCAUACCUGUACUUAUUCUUGUAGGAUUGUUGGGAAGAUUGAGUGACUUAAUGCACAUUCAAGAGUUUAGAACAGUGCCUGGCACCAAGUGUAGUCUCUGACUGUUAUAACCUUCUCUGAGCCUGUAAAAUGGGGUAACCUCACCUACUUCUGGGGUCAUUCUGAAGGACCAAAGAGCUAAUGGAAGUGAAGCACCUAGUCAUAUGCCUGGCACACGAGAGAUGCUCAAAAAUGGUAAUCUUAAUGGAAGUAGGAUUAUAUAGUAGGCUGAGUCCUUAGUCUGAGAACUACCUUGCGUAAUACACUUUAUGUCUCUGAGGCUCAACUUGGACACCUGUAAAAUGGGGGCACCAACCGGAUGUCCUGCAAGUUUGACUUAGUUCUGACAGUGUCUACCUGAAGAUAACAUCAGACCCCACAGGUCUUGCUGAAGGUUUGUCAGUUUUGUUGGUAUUUUCAAAGAACCCAUUCCAGGGGCCAGCCUGGUGGUGUAGUGGCCGUUCUCCACACUGUGCAGAGGGAUUAUUUUAAAACACAAAUGUGAUACAGUCAGCAACUUGAUGGAAACAACCUCAAUGGCUGCUUGCUGCUCUCUGGAUAAAGAUCAACAUGCUGUGUCCUACAAGGCCCUGAGGUCUCCAACAGGAGGCUUACCAUCUUCAUCUAGUCCUCAGUUGCAUUUUUUAAAAAAUAAAAUUGAACUGGCAAUGCUCUGUUUCUUGAUCUGGGUGCUGAACACUGGUACUUACC
ensembl:lncRNA